rnacentral:lncRNA from 1 species
ACCUAAAAUGUCUCAUUAUUCAUCAAUUAAUGAAAAACAAAUGAAAAUUUGAGAGAGAUAUUCUGAAGAAUAAAAGGAUCAAGUUGGGUCAUUUCUAAAAUCUCAGAGACCUAAUAGGAUGGGGUCUUAGAGAAACAUCUUUUGAGCCACAGACUUCUUUGUUACCAGAAGGAAAAUGAAAGAAGAAAUUUAAAUACCACUUGAAGAGAGCCCUGCUUCUUUAGAAUUGACAGUCUGGCUUCGUGGUUAAUUCACAGCAUCUGAGGAAUACAUCCAAAGAGGGUGAUACUGUGGCAUGAUGGUACCAGGAUUCCAAGUUCAUUCCAGAGAAGAUGGCAAGAUGCAGAGAGGAGGAGUCACGCCUGAAGCCACACAGCUGACAUCAGAGCCAAAGCAUGAGCCUCAGUCUCUCUGACCCAGAGCUACCACCCUUGCUGCCUUGGGAAGAAGGAAGCCCCCUCCUAUUCUAUCCUUGAGCUGCCUUGGCAAGGAGGGGCCCCUUGCUGCCGCCAUCCUCACAGGACACCAUCCACAUGAGGGGAUGAAUCUCAGUUGCACUCAGUUGUUGCCCCCCUCGAACCUCCCUUGAGCCUCAGGAGAAACCACCCUGAUUCAGAGGUCCAGAGAAGACCUGACUAGCCCAAGGUAAUUCCGUCCCCUUGCCAGAGUGGCUUGGGCAGGGACACGGGACCUAUUUCAAUGAGGCCAAUGAGACAAAGGUAUUUCUGCUGGGGAGGCAGGGGCUUCAAGCAAAGGGUCUUGCUUGAAAGAGCCACCGGAAGAGGGCUCUCUCCUUCCUUAGGGUGUCACCGUGUCUGGAUGCGAUGCCUGGAAGUGCUACAGCCACUCGCGCCCAGCCUGAAGAUGAAACCAACCCCAAACACAGCCAAGCAGAGAGAUGGAAAGAACUAGGACCCUAAUUACACCACUGAGCAGCUAUAGCAACCAGUUCCAGAGCCCUCUGACUUCCCGCCAAAGUGAGAUGAUAAGAUACUGUUUAAUUUCUCUCUUUUAUAGCCAAACACACCAAAAUUGACACAGAGAUGUGAGCCAUACCUACUACUGUUACUGCUCCAUCCCUAGCUCCAACCACAGUGCAUGGUACAUGGUAGAGAGCCAACAAACACUUGAAGAAUGAAUGGUGCAUAUUGAGUGGGAUUUUCCAGAGGCAGACCUGGAGACAAGGCUUCAAGUGCGUGUGUUGUAUUAAGGAAAUGCUCCCAGGGGAC